UACGUAGGCAGCGAGCGUUGUUCGGAUUUACUGGGCGUAAAGAGUGCGUAGGCGGUUUUCUAAGUUUGGUGUGAAAUCUCCCGGCUCAACUGGGAGGGUGCGCCGAAGACUGGAAGGCUUGAGUAUGGGAGAGGUAAGCGGAAUUCCUGGUGUAGCGGUGAAAUGCGUAGAUAUCAGGAGGAACACCUGCGGUGUAGACGGCUUACUGGACCAUAACUGACGCUGAGGCACGAAAGCGUGGGUAGCGAACAGG
rnacentral:rRNA from 1 species